AAACAUAGCCCUAAGAAAUUAUUUAGGGUGAAGCCUGCUCAUGAAAUAUUUAAAUGGCCGCGGUACCUUGACCGUGCUAAGGUAGCAUAAUCAGUUGACUUUUAAAUGAAGUCUGGAAUGAAUGGAAUAACGGGAUUUUACUGUCUCAAUCUUUUUCUUUUGAAGUUACUAAUUAGGUGAAAAGGCCUAAAAAUGAUAAAAGACGAUAAGACCCUUAGAGUUUUAUUAUAAAUUUUGUUGGGGCGACAAGGAAUCAAUUAACAUUCCUGUUUUAUAUGACGGAUUUUUCAUGAACAGAUAAACUACCUGAGGGAUAACAGCAUUAUCUUUAUUAGGUUUGUGACCUCGAUGUUGGACUAGGAAGCCUAUAGGCUAGCCGCUUAUAAGGGAGAUUCUGUUCGAAUUUUUACUCCUACGUGAU
rnacentral:rRNA from 1 species